GAUGAACGCUGGCGGCGUGCCUAAUACAUGCAAGUCGAGCGAACAGACGAGGAGCUUGCUCCUCUGACGUUAGCGGCGGACGGGUGAGUAACACGUGGAUAACCUACCUCUAAGACUGGGAUAACUUCGGGAAACCGGAGCUAAUACCGGAUAAUAUAUUGAACCGCAUGGUUCAAUAGUGAAAGACGGUUUUGCUGUCACUUAUAGAUGGAUCCGCGCCGCAUUAGCUAGUUGGUAAGGUACCGUCUUACCAAGGCAACGAUGCGUAGCCGACCUGAGAGGGUGAUCGGCCACACUGGAACUGAGACACGGUCCAGACUCCUACGGGAGGCAGCAGUAGGGAAUCUUCCGCAAUGGGCGAAAGCCUGACGGAGCAACGCCGCGUGAGUGAUGAAGGUCUUCGGAUCGUAAAGCUCUGUUAUUAGGGAAGAACAAAUGUGUAAGUAACUAUGCACGUCUUGACGGUACCUAAUCAGAAAGCCACGGCUAACUACGUG
rnacentral:rRNA from 1 species